UGAACGCUGGCGGCAUGCCUUACACAUGCAAGUCGAACGGCAGCACGGGUGCUUGCACCUGGUGGCGAGUGGCGAACGGGUGAGUAAUACAUCGGAACAUGUCCUGUAGUGGGGGAUAGCCCGGCGAAAGCCGGAUUAAUACCGCAUACGAUCUACGGAUGAAAGCGGGGGACCUUCGGGCCUCGCGCUAUAGGGUUGGCCGAUGGCUGAUUAGCUAGUUGGUGGGGUAAAGGCCUACCAAGGCGACGAUCAGUAGCUGGUCUGAGAGGACGACCAGCCACACUGGGACUGAGACACGGCCCAGACUCCUACGGGAGGCAGCAGUGGGGAAUUUUGGACAAUGGGCGAAAGCCUGAUCCAGCAAUGCCGCGUGUGUGAAGAAGGCCUUCGGGUUGUAAAGCACUUUUGUCCGGAAAGAAAUCCUUGGCUCUAAUACAGUCGGGGGAUGACGGUACCGGAAGAAUAAGCACCGGCUAACUACGUGCCAGCAGCCGCGGUAAUACGUAGGGUGCGAGCGUUAAUCGGAAUUACUGGGCGUAAAGCGUGCGCAGGCGGUUUGCUAAGACCGAUGUGAAAUCCCCGGGCUCAACCUGGGAACUGCAUUGGUGACUGGCAGGCUAGAGUAUGGCAGAGGGGGGUAGAAUUCCACGUGUAGCAGUGAAAUGCGUAGAGAUGUGGAGGAAUACCGAUGGCGAAGGCAGCCCCCUGGGCCAAUACUGACGCUCAUGCACGAAAGCGUGGGGGAGCAAACAGGAUUAGAUACCCUGGUAGUCCACGCCCUAAACGAUGUCAACUAGUUGUUGGGGAUUCAUUUCCUUAGUAACGUAGCUAACGCGUGAAGUUGACCGCCUGGGGAGUACGGUCGCAAGAUUAAAACUCAAAGGAAUUGACGGGGACCCGCACAAGCGGUGGAUGAUGUGGAUUAAUUCGAUGCAACGCGAAAAACCUUACCUACCCUUGACAUGGUCGGAAUCCCGCUGAGAGGUGGGAGUGCUCGAAAGAGAACCGGCGCACAGGUGCUGCAUGGCUGUCGUCAGCUCGUGUCGUGAGAUGUUGGGUUAAGUCCCGCAACGAGCGCAACCCUUGUCCUUAGUUGCUACGCAAGAGCACUCUAAGGAGACUGCCGGUGACAAACCGGAGGAAGGUGGGGAUGACGUCAAGUCCUCAUGGCCCUUAUGGGUAGGGCUUCACACGUCAUACAAUGGUCGGAACAGAGGGUUGCCAACCCGCGAGGGGGAGCUAAUCCCAGAAAACCGAUCGUAGUCCGGAUUGCACUCUGCAACUCGAGUGCAUGAAGCUGGAAUCGCUAGUAAUCGCGGAUCAGCAUGCCGCGGUGAAUACGUUCCCGGGUCUUGUACACACCGCCC
rnacentral:rRNA from 1 species